AUUGAACGCUGGCGGCAGGCCUAACACAUGCAAGUCGAGCGCGAAAGGCUUUCGGGCUGAGUAGAGCGGCGGACGGGUGAGUAACGCGUAGGAAUCUACCUGGUAGUGGGGGACAACUUGGGGAAACUCAAGCUAAUACCGCAUACGACCUAAGGGUGAAAGUGGGGGACCUUCGGGCCUCACGCUAUCGGAUGAGCCUGCGUAGGAUUAGCUUGUUGGUGAGGUAAAAGCUCACCAAGGCGACGAUCCUUAGCUGGUCUGAGAGGAUGAUCAGCCACACUGGAACUGAGACACGGUCCAGACUCCUACGGGAGGCAGCAGUGGGGGAAUAUUGCGCAAUGGGCGAAAGCCUGACGCAGCCAUGCCGCGUGUGUGAAGAAGGCCUC
rnacentral:rRNA from 1 species